UACGUAGGGACCAAGCGUUGUUCGGAUUUACUGGGCGUAAAGGGCGCGUAGGCGGCGCGGUAAGUCACUUGUGAAAUCUCUGAGCUUAACUUAGAACGGCCAAGUGAUACUGCAGUGCUAGAGUGUGGAAGGGGCAAUCGGAAUUCUUGGUGUAGCGGUGAAAUGCGUAGAUAUCAAGAGGAACACCUGAGGUGAAGACGGGUUGCUGGGCCAACACUGACGCUGAUGCGCGAAAGCCAGGGGAGCAAACGGG
rnacentral:rRNA from 1 species